rnacentral:rRNA from 1 species
GGGUUGUGAGGUUAAGCGACUAAGCGUACACGGUGGAUGCCCUGGCAGUCAGAGGCGAUGAAGGACGUGCUAAUCUGCGAUAAGCGUCGGUAAGGUGAUAUGAACCGUUAUAACCGACGAUUUCCGAAUGGGGAAACCCAGUGUGUUUCGACACACUAUCAUUAACUGAAUCCAUAGG